rnacentral:tRNA from 1 species
GCACCCGUAGCUCAGCUGGAUAGAGUACCUGACUACGAAUCAGGCGGUCGCCCGUUCGAAUCGGGCCGGGUGCUCCA